AGCUCGCCAACAUUCAAUCGCCGACCGACGUGCACAUCGGCGAUCCGUUCGAGAUUUCCGCGUAUGUGCAGGGGCGGGGAAUCGCGGGGCAAGCAGUGUCGGUGGAGUUGCUGGUGCGGCCGGCGGAGGAGACGGAAGCGGAGCCGACGCUGGUGGAAUCGCGCGAGCUGACGGUGGCGGAAGACGGAGUGCCGGUCGAAGUGAAGUUUCCGCAGAACGCGUCGGUGGCGGGUCGGUACGACUAUUCGCUGCGGGUGAAGUCGGGACGCGUGCUGCACGAGCUCAGCGUCGACGACAACGAAGCGCACAAGACGAUUCAAGUCGUGGAUCGCGAGACGCGGGUGCUGCUUCUGGCGGGGGGCCCGACGCGCGAAUAUCAGUUCCUGCGAAACGUGCUGUUCCGGCAUUCGACGGUUUCGGUCGACGUGCUGCUGCAAACCGUUGUGCCGGAGACGAUCGGCGCGGUGAGCCAGGAGUCGAAGAACCUGCUCG
rnacentral:misc_RNA from 1 species